rnacentral:lncRNA from 1 species
CCGGGCUAAUUAAAGGUAUAUACUAAAUAAUGAUAUACAUGUAUAAAGUAUAUAAUAAGGAUUGUUUGGCGUCCAAAACUAAAUUUAAUGAAGUGUAAAUGUUGGAUGUAAAAUAGUUAUCCCAUUCAGACUGCACUUGACAGUGUAAGAUCAUACACUGAAACACUGCGUCCUCAUUUGAUAACUAUUACUGAAACACCAAAUCCUACAAUUUAAUUGGUCGAAAGCACUUUGCUAUAUUCUAAUUGGGAUUAGUAUACAAAUCGACACACAGUCCAUAGUCCGUAAAACAUCGUUUAAAUUGUGUAUGUUAAUUGUGUUGACAGGUCAUUCAAUUUAUAACGUUAAUUUGUCAAAUUUUAAGACGAAUAUGUAUAUCACUCGUGGUAUUUAUCGAGCCUUAGUCUCAUUUCCUUUAUUUUUUUCAAAGUGAAA